GACGAACGCUGGCGGCGUGCCUAAUACAUGCAAGUCGAGCGGACCAAAGGGAGCUUGCUCCUGGAGGUUAGCGGCGAACGGGUGAGUAACACGUGGGCAACCUGCCUGUAAGACUGGGAUAACAUCGAGAAAUCGGUGCUAAUACCGGAUAAUAAAAGAACUGCAUGGUUCUUUUGAAGAUGGUUUCGGCUAUCACUUACAGAUGGGCCGCGGCGCAUUAGCUAGUUGGUGAGGUAACGGCUCACCAAGGCAACGAUGCGUAGCCGACCUGAGAGGGUGAUCGGCCACACUGGGACUGAGACACGGCCCAGACUCCUACGGGAGGCAGCAGUAGGGAAUCUUCCGC
rnacentral:rRNA from 1 species